UAUAUAUAAUUAUAUUUUAGAAGAAUACGUUAUGCGGAAAUGGGAUAGUCUUCGUGGCGGGGAUUUAUGUCAGCGAUUGGUCGGCUCAAUGACAUCCCGAUUAGAAGAAUGUCAAAAUAAUAACAGGUUAUACACCCAUUAUUAAAUUUUGACAUAACAAAUUUUAUUCAUUAUUAAUGAGAAACAAUAAGCGCAUACCUGGCUGUGGUCCUCAAGACGAAAAAGAUAAAACUCUUCAUCCCGCGG